AACGCAGCUUCCUCUCUCAACAAAUUUCUUCUUCUCUUGGUGAUAUCGAUCUCUCGGCGAUUUGCUCUGGUCAUCACCUUCCUCUGUUCAUCGAGCUUCCUCUGUUCAUCGAGCUUCCUCUGUUCAUCGAGCUUCCUCUGUUCAUCGAGCUUCCUCUGUUCAUCAAGCUCCUCUUUUCAUCGAAGUCUUCAGUACCUCCAACCGAAGGUAACGCCUGAGAGGAAUCACCAGUUAACGGAAUCAGUAACGGAGGAUUAAAUUUAUCAAGCCCUAGUGCAGAUGAAUGUGGAUAAGACGCCAGGGCCAGAUGGUUUUAACGCUUGCUUCUACAAGUACCAUUGGAAUGCAAUCAAAUAAGAUCAAUGGUGCAAGUUGGUUAUGACCUGCAUCACAACGGUGUCUUAUUCAGUCCUUAUCAAUGGGAAGCCUUCCCAAAAGUUAAUCCCGCAGCGAGGUCUUCGACAAGGAGACCCCCUCUCCCCUUAUAUCUUCUUGUUCUGUACAGAGGGACUAUGAUAUUUAUUAACUCAUGCGAUGAACUCACAACAAAUUCAUGGUUUUUAAGCAAGUCGAGGAGGCCCUCCCAUUUCACACAUGUUAUUUGCUGAUGAUUCGCUUCUCUUCUGUCAGGCAAGUGAGGAAGAAUGCACACACCUUCAUAUACUUAGCACCUAUGUUGCAGCCUCAGACCAUCAUGUCAACUUCCAAAAAUCUGCCAUACUCUUUGGUAAGAAUUUUAGCGCUGAGACUAAGCACAGUAUUGCCUCUCUCACAUGCAUUGAAAAAAAUAUGAGGUUUUGGCAAAUAUCUUGGCCUCCCUGAAGUCAUAUGGAGGAAUAAGCACGAGAGUUGGUACAUUAAAUUCUUAUCUCCUGUUAGGAAAGCAGUUCUCAUUAAGUCUAUAGUGAUGGCUCUCCCCACUUAUUGUAUGUCUUCUUUCCUCCUUCGAAAAAAGAAUUAUUAAUAAAGUUACAAGGUAGAUUAGACGCUUUCGGUGGGCAAGUUCAAAAGAGAAGCAGGAGAUACAUUGGAUUGCUUGGAAUAAAUUAACCGAAUUGAAAAUUCACGGAGGUCUGAGUUUUAGGGAUCUGCAGCAGUUCAAUAUAGCUCUACUUGCUAAGCAAAGUUGGCGUAUACUUAAGGAUACGAAUUAUGUGCUAAGCCAAGUGAUUGAUGUAGCAUUUUAUUCAAUUGUUUAUCGAACAACAAUUUGCAAUCAAUCAACUCACCAAGAAUACACACAAUUGCUUAAUCUAAGCUAACAAG